UACGUAGGGUGCGAGCGUUAAUCGGAUUUACUGGGCGUAAAGCGUGCGCAGGCGGCCCGUUAAGACAGGUGUGAAAGCCCUGGGCUCAACCUAGGAAUUGCGCUUGUGACUGGCGGGCUCGAGUACGGUAGAGGGGGGUGGAAUUCCUGGUGUAGCAGUGAAAUGCGUAGAGAUCAGGAUGAACACCGAUGGCGAAGGCAGCCCCCUGGGCCUGUACUGACGCUCAUGCACGAAAGCGUGGGGAGCAAACAGG
rnacentral:rRNA from 1 species